rnacentral:rRNA from 1 species
CCUACGGGUGGCUGCAGUGGGGAAUAUUGGACAAUGGGGGCAACCCUGAUCCAGCCAUGCCGCGUGUGUGAAGAAGGCCCUCGGGUUGUAAAGCACUUUCAGUGAGGAAGAACGCCUGGUGGUUAAUACCCAUCAGGAAAGACAUCACUCACAGAAGAAGCACCGGCUAACUCCGUGCCAGCAGCCGCGGUAAUACGGAGGGUGCGAGCGUUAAUCGGAAUUACUGGGCGCAAAGCGCGCGUAGGUGGCUUGAUAAGCCGGUUGUGAAAGCCCCGGGCUCAACCUGGGAACGGCAUCCGGAACUGUCAAGCUAGAGUGCAGGAGAGGAAGGUAGAAUUCCCGGUGUAGCGGUGAAAUGCGUAGAGAUCGGGAGGAAUACCAGUGGCGAAGGCGGCCUUCUGGACUGACACUGACACUGAGGUGCGAAAGCGUGGGUAGCAAACAGGAUUAGAUACCCUGGUAGUC